rnacentral:rRNA from 1 species
UACUUGAGGCAGCAGUGGGGAAUCUUCCGCAAUGGGCGAAAGCCUGACGGAGCAACGCCGCGUGAGUGAAGAAGGCCUUCGGGUCGUAAAGCUCUGUCUUUAGGGAAGAACAUUCCGGGUGUGAACAAUGCCCGGGACUGACGGUACCUGAGGAGGAAGCUCCGGCUAACUACGUGCCAGCAGCCGCGGUAAU